UUAAAAUAUUAACAUUUUUAUAUUAUUUGAUUUUUAUGUUUGUUUAUCGUUUCUCCGUCUUUGACAUAGAACAGGAAAUGUGUAGAGAAUUUAGGCAAGAUAAAUUCAGUUCACUCAAAGGUAUCUUUAAAACAUUUCCCAAUUAGUUUGAUGUGUCUAUAGUAUUAAAAUUGACCCGGACAGUUCAAGCACGCGAAUUAAGAUAAUGUAGUCAAAAAGUUAAUUUUUAAACCGCAAGACAUCAUCACCAUGUUUGUGAAGAAUAUUGACUUGGACAAUACGAAAUGCUUUUCAAGCAGCCAUUAGUAAAAUUAAUGGUUUAAUCGGUGAGAAGGAGCUAGAGCUUUGGAAUGUUCCAAGUACUAUAAACGAGAUUGAUUUAAAACUGGAUAGUGCUGUUAAUAGUUGGGAUGUUAAUGAAAUAUCCACAAAAACAAGCAGGAAUGUGGGAGAGAGGUUCAGUCGACGUUUAUGAACUCUCUUUGCUUGGUUACGAUCUUCAACUGAAUAAGAAGCCGAGGUCACAUAAUGAGUUCGAGUCUCAGCUGAAUCAUAGAGCCAGAUUAAAGAUGGAAAAUGUCAACGAGGAAGAAAGAUUUGCAGCUGUGGUAAGCUCUUUUGGUACUUGAAAACUUCACCUUUGACCACUAAGUGUCUCGUCAAUUACUAUUUCUACUGAGACCAAAUUUAGUGGAGGAAAAUAUAUUCUAUCAUAGUAUGUUGACGAAAAGAAGGCAAUAACUUAUUAGCAAACUUAUCAGGUCCUAAUAGAGGCUAACUUCUUUUGCCUCUUCGGACGACAUAAGAUAAUACUGAUUGAAAUAUUAUGCUUAGGUCUUCGAAAUUUAUUUUAAUAUCCAUAAUCUUCAAAUAUAGGAAUGCCGCUUUGUGAAUGUGUAAUUGCUAGAUACAGUAAUUCACUACUGAUAUUCGUUUUCCAAUUUAGUCUCCUCUUUUUUUUGACACCUUCUAUUGAAAGAAACUUUUAAAUAUAAUAUUAUAUUGCAUAUGUGUGUUACAGCUGUUGUUAUAUUAA